rnacentral:rRNA from 1 species
UACGGAGGUGGCAAGCGUUGUUCGGAUUUAUUGGGUGUAAAGGGUAUGUAGGUGUCCUGAUAAGUCGAAUGUGAAAUCCCUUGGCUCAACCAAGGAACUGCAUUUGAUACUGUCAGGAUUGAGCAUGGAAGAGGAGAGUGGAAUUUCCGGUGUAAGGGUGAAAUCUGUAGAUAUCGGGAGGAACACCAGUGGCGAAAGCGGCUCUCUGGUCCAAGGCUGACACUGAAAUACGAAAGCUAAGGGAGCAAACAGGAUUAGAUACCCGCGUA